UCCACACAGUAAACGAUAUACACUAGAUGUUGGUUUGGGCAUAGUCCGAGUCAGUGUCGUAGCUAACGCGUUAAGUGUAUCGCCUGGGGAGUACGAUCGCAAGGUUUAAACUCAAAGGAAUUGACGGGGGCCCGCACAAGCGGUGGAGCAUGUGGUUUAAUUCGAUGCAACGCGAAGAACCUUACCUGGGCUUGACAUCCCAAGGAUUUUUCAGAGAUGAGAGAGUGCCUUUC
rnacentral:rRNA from 1 species